rnacentral:rRNA from 1 species
GUAAAGCACUGUUGUAAGGGAAGAAUAACUGAAUUCAGAGAAAGUUUUCAGCUUGACGGUACCUUACCAGAAAGGGAUGGCUAAAUACGUGCCAGCAGCCGCGGUAAUACGUAUGUCCCGAGCGUUAUCCGGAUUUAUUGGGCGUAAAGCGAGCGCAGACGGUUUAUUAAGUCUGAUGUGAAAUCCCGAGGCCCAACCUCGGAACUGCAUUGGAAACUGAUUUACUUGAGUGCGAUAGAGGCAAGUGGAACUCCAUGUGUAGCGGUGAAAUGCGUAGAUAUGUGGAAGAACACCAGUGGCGAAAGCGGCUUGCUAGAUCGUAACUGACGUUGAGGCUCGAAAGUAUGGGUAGCAAACGGGAUUAGAUACCCCGGUAGUCCAUACCGUAAACGAUGGGUGCUAGUUGUUAAGAGG